CCUACGGGAGACAGCAGUGGGGGAUAUUGCACAAUGGGGGGAACCCUGAUGCAGCGACGCCGCGUGGGUGAAGAAGCGCCUCGGCGCGUAAAGCCCUGUCAGCAGGGAAGAAAAUGACGGUAUCUGACGAAGAAGCCCCGGCUAACUACGUGCCAGCAGCCGCGGUAAUACGUAGGGGGCAAGCGUUAUCCGGAUUUACUGGGGGUAAAGGGGGCGAAGACGGCGAUGCAAGCCAGGAGUGAAAGCCCGGGGCCCAACCCCGGGACUGCUCUUGGAACUGCGUGGCUGGAGUGCAGGAGGGGCAGGCGGAAUUCCUGGUGUAGCGGUGAAAUGCGUAGAUAUCAGGAGGAACACCGGUGGCGAAGGCGGCCUGCUGGACUGCAACUGACGUUGAGGCCCGAAAGCGUGGGGAGCAAACAGGAUUAGAUACCCCAGUAGUC
rnacentral:rRNA from 1 species